CAAGCUCAGGUGAGGACAAGCGUGGUUAAGGGGAGGCACGCAGUUAAGGAGCUCGGACGCCCGGGGAGCUGCAUCCCAGCCUCGCGAGAAUACAGGCUGCAGCAGGAGUGAGGGCCUUGCUUCCAGAAACUCCCCCAAGACGUAAGAAAUGGUUCACAAAGAUAAACAGUGUCACAAAAACCCCACCAGCAAGGAGAGGCACGGAGCAGCAGAGCAGAGGUUGCUGCGGGAGCAUAAACACCACUUCUGCGGGCACGGAACGCUCACGGCACCAGCGAACAAAGCAAACAUUUCUGGUCAACCUGAGGCCACCUUUCCACGGAAGGAUAAAAGAAAACUAAAA